CUCAUUUUAGCACAUAUUUUUUGGUUAUUACGUUACAUCUGUUAUAUGUGUUAAGGAAUACAUUUUGUAAUUGUGAAAAUAAAUUUGACGAAUACUUUCGACGAUUUGCUUAAUUUUCGUAAAUUUCAAGUAUGUGCAAAGGUAACGGUGGUGGUGGUGGAUCAAGUAAUUGUUCGUUACGUGAUUUGUCAAAGAUCUUUGCGAUAUGGACUAUAGUUGUAGGAGCUGGUGCUAUAUUAGUGUGUAUAUUACAGCUUACUGUAAAAUUGAAUUCUGAAUACAAAUACAUUCAACAUUUUACUUUUGUCUAUUUGGGUUUCGCUGUUCUACAUUUAAUCAGUGGGUUAAUCUUGAUGUAUGCGGUUAUGAAAAAAAAGGCCUGCCUAUUUCUACUUGGUAUUAUACUAAGUUCCAUUUAUCCUUACAUCUUAUUUUUCUGUAUUGUACCACUAGGUCUUCAAAUAUUUUUUACUGUCGUUGGGUGCAGAUAUUAUAGGGAGGAGUUACGCGGCAAUUAACUCUAGAUGUAUUUUUAUGUUGCUAACUAUGAAAACUAAAGUAUAGACGUGGAGUUUAUAUUCUAUUUUGGAUAGCUCAUCACAAAAACACAAAGUAUAUAUACUUUUUUGUAUUUGCUACGUCUCCUUCUGUCUGCUAUAUACAUUUUCCGAAUCACAUUAUACCCUGUUUACCCAUGUAAAAUGGUUUUGGUGUGUAACAAGUUAGCGGCGCAAUCAGCAAUCAGCAGUCAGCGGAGCGCAUGCCCCUGAUUAUCUCCAAGUCGGGCAUUCUCACAUUUCGGAUACCAGCUCCCAAUUCUGUGACAUAUGAAAUCGAACUCAGUCCAACGUUAUAUGUGUUAUGUGUUGUGUUAAGAAAUAUAUUUUAUAAUUGAGAAAAUAAAUUUGACGAACACAUCCGACGACGCUGUGCGAAAUUUUCGUAAAUUUCAAGUAUGUGUAAAGGCAAAGAUGAUGGUGGUGGUGGUGGAUCAUGUAAUUGUGCGUUACGGAAUGUGGCAAUAACCUUUGCAUGUUGGACUAUAUUUUUAGGAGCUGUAGGUAUUUUAUGUUGGGGAUACUUUAUCACAUUAAAAUAUAAAUAUGAAGACAGAAGAUCUUACGUGUUGUCUAUUGUCUUAUUGGCUUUGUCUAUUCUACAUUUAAUCAGUGGGUUAAUCUUGGUGUAUGGGAUUGUGAAAAAAAUAGCCCACAUAUUUCUAAUUGGUAUUAUACUAAGUUCCAUUUAUCCUUACCUUCUAGUGGGCUUAAUAAUACCAGCAGCUCUUCAAGUCCUUUUUACUAUCUGUGGCUGCCGCUAUUUAAAAAAGGACUUAAACAGUGAGUCCCAGAAGUAAAAUUGAUUUUUUCUAUCGUAAGACAAAUUGUAUAAGUAAAGUAUCGAAAUCGGCAAUCGAUUAGACAUUCGA